rnacentral:lncRNA from 1 species
AUUAAGAGUAUGUUUUAAAGGCUUUCCAGUCCUGGAUUGAGUAAAUAGUUGCUAAAUUUCGAUAAAUAACUUUUAAAAUCUACAUUAAAUAAGCAGUUAAGUGUAUUUAGGAUACUCUUUUUUUUCCCCCAGAAUUGCUCCAGUCAGAGAGUCCUGGGUUAUAAUCUCAGUAUUUCACUGGUAAUAGGGCUGUGCUUGCUCAUAUCUGUUUUGCCUCAAAGAUCCUGCUGGGUGUGGCAAGCUUGGCUACUGACAUCUGCAAGCUUUAAACCUUUCCCAUUCCCACAGCCCAGAGGAGCUGUUAGUGUGCUCAGCCCUAUUUUACAAGUACAGAAUUAAGGCACAGAAGAGCAAAGUCAUUUGUUCAAAGCCAUGCAGGGAGUCAGUAAUGGAGCAGAACAGGAGCCAACAACAGAUCAAAAAAUAUUUCUCUAAAAAUAAGGCUUUGAAAAUCCGUAAAGAAAAUGUGGCUCUAACAAAAUGUUCUGUUACGUUCAAAACCGCAAUUAGUCAUUACUGAUUUUGGUAAUGAAUGUACAAAUGUCCCAUGACCCCCAGAACCUAACAAACAUCUCUAUCCAUUUGCUGCUUUUGCCCAGGGAACGCCAGCUGGACUGACAACAGUGGAUGGGCACCACUGAGUGAUGCCUGGAGACAGCUCUUGCCUCUGUUGCACCAGGAAAAUCUAUCCAAGGUUGCACAUCACAAAAAAAGAGGUGCCAUCACCCUGGGAGACAUGGCAAGGAAUAAUUUAGUGCUCCCUUAACCUUUGUAGGGCUGAUCUGGAGCUCCCUGCUGCUCCCUGCAGCCAGGGUGUUUCUGCUGUGAAUGACUGCAGCAUCCUGAGGAGCGAGUGGCCAAGGGCUGCUGUCCUGCAGAGUGGCACAGAGGCCCUCGUGCCAUUUGGGGGCACAGCUGAACUCAGUCCAGCUGACAGGGUGGGAGGAGGAUGGCUGCACCCAGGCACAGGGACCCCUCAGUGAUGCUAGAAAAGCCACCAUGUGCAGGGCUAGGACAGCUGCACUGCCCUGGAGGGUGUCCUGGGUGGCUCAGCAUGGGCAACCGGCCCUGGGUGAUGGGAGCUGCCAGGCAAGCUCAGGCCACUGAGUCCCUGAGCCAGCCAGCCUUGCUGGGAGAUGAAAACUUUGCUAAAAUCUUGCCCCUGAUCCCAUCUUCUUGUCCAGAGCUUCCUGCUCUUGAGUUUGUGUCAGGUCCCUGGUUCAGCUUAAAAUGGUAAUGGCAUUACUGCUGAAACAAAUGGCACCUGGAGCUGUAGGAGGUGCUGGGCUCUGCAGAACUGUUUGGAUGGGAGGGACAUGGAUUCAGAGGAUUCUCCUGCAGCUUCUUCUCCCCUCCUCCCAUCCCAGGGAUAUUCUGGAGAGCUGCUGUCACGACAGGAAGCAGGACUCUGGCCAUCAGCUCCUGCUCCUGGGAAAUCCAUGGGGCUCUGCCACAUCAUGAGGUUUUCAGUCCCUGUCAAGUUCUCAACUUUUGAUGAGAUGGUUCAAAUCAGGAAAAUCCUGUCUUUGUGCCAGACAUUUAAAUCUGAAAGUAAUUAAGGCAAAAUCUUUUCCUGCACAUAAAGUACCUAACAUGUGGCAAUAGCAAAAUCAUCAGAGUUUCUUCUAUCAUAAGCCCACAAAACAUAUUGGAUUUUGAACGAAGCACAUGAAACAAUGGCCUUUGUAUACAACUUAUCUCGACCUCUGAAAGUAAUGGCAUUUUUUCUCCAAUUCUACUGUUAAAUGCAAAUGCUGAAUUCUGAAUAUUCACAUUUGAGAAGGAUUCAUGGCUGGAUUGUUUCAAAAAUCUGAGUGCCCCCAAGAAGUUUCUCUCCACAUAUGAAGUGUUUGCUGAAGUUCCCAGACCUAUUCUCAGAACAGUUUCCUGCCCAGCCCAAACUCCAGCAGCAAACACCCAGACUGUGGGAGGCUGAACUCAGCCUCCUCUUUCCCAGCUAAACCACCCAAAAGCUUCAGGCUUGGCAACUGUGACUCCUCUUACUUCCUCCUACGGUUCAUUCCCUAGCUAAGCCCUUUCCCAACUCACCAACAGACACGUCAAAUCCCACGUAGCGCAGUCCUUGAGCUGCACAGGACCAAUGUACCACCCCAGUGAUGGGGAAUCACAUCCCACCUGGGCUGAGCCCCCUCUGUUGGGCCCAGCCACGGCUCCAAACCAGGACCAGGAUCCCAAAGCAGAUUAAGAGCAGUUAAAGCAGCCAAUAAUGCAGCACG